CCAGCGAGCCGGGCACGGCCCUGGACACCGCGCACACGAGUCACGGGUCGCGUUUCAGCCGUUUCCCUCAUCCCUUAUCCCUCCUCAAAGGAGGCGCUCAGGAUCAAGACGGCUGCGCAGGCGCCGCGCACGCAGGCCAGAUGAAGCCCGGGUCGCUUCGAAGCCAGGACAGAGCUCAGACAGACACACGCUGCCUUCCAUUCUUAAUAACUUGGGAUAAAAUACAAACUGUUUCCACGAAUUAGCACAUCUGGAGUUGUAAAGACAGCUAAAUGACCAGUGCUCACUUCUCACACUUCCCCAGAGCUAGGAUCACCAUCAGACAUAAGUGGCAGUUGUUGGAUGGUGUCCAGGUGUCGAGGUUCUUGGCUUCAUCACAAGAAAGAAUUCCAGGACGAGUC
rnacentral:lncRNA from 1 species